rnacentral:rRNA from 1 species
AAAAUAAUGACGACAGUACUCUACAAAACGGUACCGUCAGUACACUCAUUUUUUUUCCUCAAAUCAAGUAGGACUACCCGCUGAACUUAAGCAUAUCAAUAAGCGGAGGAAAAGAAACCAACAGGGAUUGCCUCAGUAACGGCGAGUGAAGCGGCAAAAGCUCAAAUUUGAAAUCCCCCCGGGGAGUUGUAAUUUGAAGAUUGCGUCUUGGAGGCGACCGUGUCUAUGUUCCUUGGAACAGGACGUCACAGAGGGUGAGAAUCCCGUGCGGCACGGCCCCCGGCUCCUUAUAAGGCGCUCUCGACGAGUCGAGUUGUUUGGGAAUGCAGCUCAAAGUGGGUGGUAAAUUCCAUCUAAAGCUAAAUACAGGCGAGAGACCGAUAGCGAACAAGUACAGUGAUGGAAAGAUGAAAAGCACUUUGAAAAGAGAGUGAAACAGCACGUGAAAUUGUUGAAAGGGAAGGGCAUGCCGUCAGAUUGUCAGUGUGGGUAAGAAGCGGGGUACAAAGACUGUGGAACGUGGCCCUCGGGUGUUAUAGCCGCAGUUCAUGCCCCGUCUCUUCC